CCUACGGGAGGCUGCAGUGGGGGAUAUUGCACAAUGGGGGGAACCCUGAUGCAGCGACGCCGCGUGGGUGAAGAAGCGCCUCGGCGCGUAAAGCCCUGUCAGCAGGGAAGAAAAUGACGGUACCUGAAGACGACGCCCCGGCUAACUACGUGCCAGCAGCCGCGGUAAUACGUAGGGGGCAAGCGUUAUCCGGAUAUACUAGUUGUAAAGGGGGCGCAGACGGCGAUGCAAGCCAGGAGUGAAAGCCCGGGUCCCAACCCCGGGGCUGCUCUUGGAACUGCGUGGCUGGAGUGCAGGAGGGGCAGGGGGAAUUCCUGGUGUAGCGGGGAAAUGAGUAGAUAUCAGGAGGAACACCGGUGGCGAAGGCGGCCUGCUGGACUGCAACUGACGUUGAGGCCCGAAAGCGUGGGGAGAAAACAGGAUUAGAGACCCCAGUAGUC
rnacentral:rRNA from 1 species